AAAGCUGUGUUUCCUGGGGAAAAGUGUGGCAUCUUCAGUUUACAUCAACUUGCUCUCAUCUGAGACAAAACUCUGUGUGUCCCUGCUGCGAUGGAUGCCAGAUAGAGCCUGCUUGCCUAGGAUGGGGACAGAUGCCAUUGGAAACAGCAAAUUUACAACAGCGGCCAGUACUUUUGCAAGAUCGCUGGAGAGAAUUCAUCAUCAGAAUAGAGAUUGCAAGACCAUCACGAUGACUUCACGUCAGUGCCAGCAUAUGCAGCCGUGGAAUACAGUGAGCGCUCUCUGCGGCUGACAGCAAUAGCGGUGAUCUAAUUUACCCGGCGACUGGAAGAAACUCUUUGUACAGGCUCUGGGUCCCUUUGGAUUAGUGACUUCAAGGUCAACUGGAGGAGAAAGGAAGCAGGGCUGAGGGUCACCCUCUCCUGUCUCAUUUGCAUGCUCUUGAAUAUAUGAUUUUAAGAAACAUGCGUUUUUGAUCUGCAAUGUAAAAAUUCCUCAAUGAUUUUUUGUACAGAUGUGCAGAAUACAGGAAUGAAAUAAAAUAUUGAGAAUUUGUGGC
rnacentral:lncRNA from 1 species